CCCCUUAAGAAUGUAAAUAUAAUAAACUUGUCACUCCUGUAGAUAAACAGGUGACAACAGAUAAAACCCCACAUAAGAACACUUAACGCCAGUUGUCCAUUUCACACACAAGUAGACAUGAUGUUACGAACCUUUCUGGUCUGUGCUCUGCUUUUGGCUGCGGUUGGUGCUGUUGACAUUCGCCUGUGCCAGAGAAUAUGUCCAUUGAACUACGCACCGGUCUGUGGAACUAACGGGAUGACAUACGCCAAUUCUUGUGAAAUGAGUGUUAGGCUGUGCAUGGCCGAGGAAACUACCACGGUCAAGGUCGCACACCAGGGUGCUUGCUAGCUGUACAUCUGAACGCAUUAAAGCAUAGCAUCUACACAAA